rnacentral:misc_RNA from 1 species
GAUGAAGAACGCAGCGAAAUGCGAUAAGUAGUGUGAAUUGCAGACUUUAGUGAAUCAUCGAAUCUUUGAACGCACAUUGCGCCCCUUGGUAUUCCGAGGGGCAUGCCUGUUCGAGCGUCAUUAUAACCCUCAAGCUCAGCUUGGUGUUGGGGCCUGCUGCACUGGCAGCCCUUAAAAUCAGUGGCGGCGCCAUCUGGCUCUAAGCGUAGUAAUUCUUCUCGCUAUGGAGUCCUGGUGGAUGCUUGCCAUCAACCCCCAAUUUUUCUAUGGUUGACCUCGGAUCAGGUAGGGAUACCCGCUGAACUUAAGCAUAUCAAUAAGCGGAGGA